UAGGGAAUCUUCGGCAAUGGACGAAAGUCUGACCGAGCAACGCCGCGUGAGUGAAGAAGGUUUUCGGAUCGUAAAACUCUGUUGGUAGAGAAGAACGUUGGUGAGAGUGGAAAGCUCAUCAAGUGACGGUAACUACCCAGAAAGGGACGGCUAACUACGUGCCAGCAGCCGCGGUAAUACGUAGGUCCCGAGCGUUGUCCGGAUUUAUUGGGCGUAAAGCGAGCGCAGGUGGUUUAUUAAGUCUGGUGUAAAAGGCAGUGGCUCAACCAUUGUAUGCAUUGGAAACUGGUAGACUUGAGUGCAGGAGAGGAGAGUGGAAUUCCAUGUGUAGCGGUGAAAUGCGUAGAUAUAUGGAGGAACACCGGUGGCGAAAGCGGCUCUCUGGCCUGUAACUGACACUGAGGCUCGAAAGCGUGGGGAGCAAACAGGAUUAGAUACCCUGGUAGUCCACGCCGUAACGAUGAGUGCUAGAUGUAGGGAGCUAUAAGUUCUCUGUAUCGCAGCUAACGCAAUAAGCACUCCGCCUGGGGAGUACGACCGCAAGGUUGAAAC
rnacentral:rRNA from 1 species